UGGGGGAUAUUGCACAAUGGGGGGAACCCUGAUGCAGCGACGCCGCGUGAGGGAAGACGGUCUUCGGAUUGUAAACCUCUGUCUUUAGGGACGAAAAAAUGACGGUACCUAAGGAGGAAGCCACGGCUAACUACGUGCCAGCAGCCGCGGUAAUACGUAGGUGGCAAGCGUUGUCCGGAAUUACUGGGUGUAAAGGGAGCGUAGGCGGGGAGACAAGUUGAAUGUUUAAACUAUCGGCUCAACUGAUAGUCGCGUUCAAAACUAUCACUCUUGAGUGCAGUAGAGGUAGGCGGAAUUCCUAGUGUAGCGGUGAAAUGCGUAGAUAUUAGGAGGAACACCAGUGGCGAAGGCGGCCUACUGGGCUGUAACUGACGCUGAGGCUCGAAAGCGUGGGUAGCAAACA
rnacentral:rRNA from 1 species